ACAUUCUGAGAGAUAAACAUAUACAUUAACUAGCACAGCACGAGGAUAUGGUCGUUAAGCACUGUGACGUCACCAAUGACGUUGGGCAAGGUCAGGAGCGGCCGGCGCCGCCUCAGUGUCGGGCUGACAGCCAGCAGACGUAGUUCCUUAGGCGGUGUCCCGCUUCUUACAUCAUUUGCAGCUGCACCGGUCAUCAGGUGGGUGUGGAUUUGUGAUGUAAUUCGCGGAACCAAUUUCAUCUGAAUUACUUUGGUUAAGACCGGGUAUUUGGGUCUGGCUCGACAAUGGCCACUAGUCUUCUUGAGAAAUAACUUAAAGUGAACGGAGGACUAGUCAGUCACACAAGGAACGGAAAUAGUUCAGACGUGACGUAGCUGCAAGUCUCGAUAGAGGUGGUUGGACGGUGUUGAACACGGGGCGACUGACAACGUUGCAGGAGUAUCUGAAAGAAAA
rnacentral:lncRNA from 1 species